GCCCGGAUGGUGAAAUUGGUAGACACAAGGGACUUAAAAUCCCUCGGCCUAAACAGCCGUGCCGGUUCGAUUCCGGCUCCGGGCACCA
rnacentral:tRNA from 1 species